rnacentral:ncRNA from 1 species
ACAAUCCGGAGAAUCCCGCGGGCGGACGCCGCGCGGGUGCCGAAGGUGAAAGCCGGCUUUGCCGGCGAAUCUCUCAGGCAAAAGGACGGAUACA